GCAGGCUUGAGUCUUGUAGAGGGGGGUAGAAUUCCAGGUGUAGCGGUGAAAUGCGUAGAGAUCUGGAGGAAUACCGGUGGCGAAGGCGGCCCCCUGGACAAAGACUGACGCUCAGGUGCGAAAGCGUGGGGAGCAAACAGGAUUAGAUACCCUGGUAGUCCACGCCGUAAACGAUGUCUACUUGGAGGUUGUGCCCUUGAGGCGUGGCUUCCGGAGCUAACGCGUUAAGUAGACCGCCUGGGGAGUACGGCCGCAAGGUUAAAACUCAAAUGAAUUGACGGGGGCCCGCACAAGCGGUGGAGCAUGUGGUUUAAUUCGAUGCAACGCGAAGAACCUUAC
rnacentral:rRNA from 5 species